GAAUUUUAGCAGAGAUGCUUUAGUGCCUUCGGGAACUCUGAGACAGGUGCUGCAUGGCUGUCGUCAGCUCGUGUUGUGAAAUGUUGGGUUAAGUCCCGNAACGAGCGCAACCCUUAUCCUUUGUUGCCAGCACGUAAUGGUGGGAACUCAAAGGAGACUGCCGGUGAUAAACCGGAGGAAGGUGGGGAUGACGUCAAGUCAUCAUGGCCCUUACGAGUAGGGCUACACACGUGCUACAAUGGCGCAUACAAAGAGAAGCGACCUCGCGAGAGCAAGCGGACCUCAUAAAGUGCGUCGUAGUCCGGAUUGGAGUCUGCAACUCGACUCCAUGAAGUCGGAAUCGCUAGUAAUCGUAAAUCAGAAUGUUACGGUGAAUACGUUCCCGGGCCUUGUACACACCGCCCGUCACACCAUGGGAGUGGGUUGCAAAAGAAGUAGAUAGCUUAACCUUCGGGAGGGCGUUUACCACUUUGUGAUUCAUGACUGGGGUGAAGUCGUAACAAGGUAAGCGUAGUGCU
rnacentral:rRNA from 1 species